rnacentral:rRNA from 1 species
CAGUCGAGGGGUAACAGGAUGUAGCAAUACAUUGCUGACGACCGGCGCACGGGUGAGUAACGCGUAUGCAACCUGUCCGUUACAGGGGGAUAGCCCAUGGAAACGUGGAUUAACACUCCAUAAUAUAAUAUAGAGGCAUCUUUGUAUUAUUAAAUAUUCAUAGGUAACGGUUGGGCAUGCGUCCUAUUAGAUAGUUGGGGGGGUAACGGCCCACCGUGGCUACGAUGUCUAGGGGUUCUGAGAGGAAGGUCCCCCACACUGGUACUGAGACACGGACCAGACUCCUACGGGAGGCAGCAGUGAGGAAUAUUGGUCAAUGGGCGAGAGCCUGAACCAGCCAAGUCGCGUGAGGGAAGACGGUCCUAUGGAUUGUAAACCUCUUUUGUCGGGGAGCAAAAAGGCCUCGUGAGGCCACAAGUGAGAGUACCCGAAGAAAAAGCAUCGGCUAACUCCGUGCCAGCAGCCGCGGUAAUACGGAGGAUGCGAGCGUUAUCCGGAUUUAUUGGGUUUAAAGGGUGCGUAGGCGGACUGGAAAGUCAGCGGUAAAAUCGAGAGGCUCAACCUCUUUCCGCCGUUGAAACUGUCGGUCUUGAGUGGGCGAGAAGUAUGCGGAAUGCGUGGUGUAGCGGUGAAAUGCAUAGAUAUCACGCAGAACUCCGAUUGCGAAGGCAGCAUACCGGCGCCCGACUGACGCUGAGGCACGAAAGCGUGGGUAUCGAACAGGAUUAGAUACCCUGGUAGUCCACGCAGUAAACGAUGAAUACUAAUUGUCCGGUCAGAAUGAUGACUGGGUGAU